rnacentral:rRNA from 1 species
AUUGAACGCUGGCGGAAUGCUUUACACAUGCAAGUCGAGCGGCAGCACGGGGGCAACCCUGGUGGCGAGCGGCGAACGGGUGAGUAAUGCAUCGGAACGUACCCAUUUGUGGGGGAUAACCAUCCGAAAGGAUGGCUAAUACCGCAUAAGUCCUGAGGGAGAAAGCAGGGGAUCGCAAGACCUUGCGCGAAUGGAGCGGCCGAUGCCGGAUUAGCUAGUUGGUAGGGUAAAGGCCUACCAAGGCGACGAUCCGUAGCUGGUCUGAGAGGAUGAUCAGCCACACUGGAACUGAGACACGGUCCAGACUCCUACGGGUGGCAG